rnacentral:rRNA from 1 species
UACGUAGGGUGCAAGCGUUGUCCGGAAUUAUUGGGCGUAAAGAGCUCGUAGGCGGUUUGUUGCGUCGGCUGUGAAAUCCCGAGGCUCAACCUCGGGUCUGCAGUCGAUACGGGCAAACUAGAGUGUUGCAGGGGAGACUGGAAUUCCUGGUGUAGCGGUGAAAUGCGCAGAUAUCAGGAGGAACACCGGUGGCGAAGGCGGUUCUCUGGGCCUGACCUGACGCUGAGGAGCGAAAGCGUGGGGAGCGAACAGG